GUGAAUGAGGGUUUAGGGUGUGAUUUCAGACACAGUCUAUGAGUGUUGACUCUGAGGCUACUUUCUCGAAAACAAAGACAUACUGCACUGGAAAAUGCACUGCUUCAAUCACCACAAGAGGUACGUGUCCUUAGAGGAGUAGCAACAAGGCAGCAAGUGGUGUGUGGAACAGUCAAAAUGCGCCAAAAUGCUGUGUGUGGAGGAAAAAGACCAAGGCAAUGCACAAAUUAUUGAAGGCUGAAUUUCCAGAGGAGAGAAAUGAUGCUCUGGAACCCUCCAGCUUUGCUUUUACUCAGA